rnacentral:rRNA from 1 species
GAUGAACGCUGGCGGCGUGCCUAAUACAUGCAAGUCGAGCGAACGGACGAGAAGCUUGCUUCUCUGAUGUUAGCGGCGGACGGGUGAGUAACACGUGGAUAACCUACCUAUAAGACUGGGAUAACUUCGGGAGACCGGAGCUAAUACCGGAUAAUAUUUUGAACCGCAUGGUUCAAAAGUGAAAGACGGUCUUGCUGUCACUUAUAGAUGGAUCCGCGCUGCAUUAGCUAGUUGGUAAGGUAACGGCUUACCAAGGCAACGAUGCAUAGCCGACCUGAGAGGGUGAUCGGCCACACUGGAACUGAGACACGGUCCAGACUCCUACGGGAGGCAGCAGUAGGGAAUCUUCCGCAAUGGGCGAAAGCCUGACGGAGCAACGCCGUGUGAGUGAUGAAGGUCUUCGGAUCGUAAAACUCUGUUAUUAGGGAAGAACAUAUGUGUAAGUAACUGUGCACAUCUUGACGGUACCUAAUCAGAAAGCCACGGCUAACUACAUG